rnacentral:rRNA from 1 species
UACAGAGGGUGCGAGCGUUAAUCGGAAUUACUGGGCGUAAAGCGUGCGUAGACGGUUAAGUAAGUCAGGUGUGAAAGCCCCGGGCUCAACCUGGGAAUUGCAUUUGAGACUGCUUAGCUAGGGUGCGGAAGAGGGAAGCGGAAUUUCCGGUGUAGCGGUGAAAUGCGUAGAUAUCGGAAGGAACAUCAGUGGCGAAAGCGGCUUCCUGGUCCAGCACCGACGUUCAGGCACGAAAGCGUGGGGAGCAAACAGGGA